rnacentral:rRNA from 1 species
CGGGUGAGUAACGCGUAGGUAACCUGCCCCAUACAGAGGGAUAGCCACUGGAAACGGUGAUUAAUACCUCAUGACACUUUCUCUUCGCAUGGAGGGAAGGUCAAAGAUUUAUCGGUAUGGGAUGGACCUGCGUCUGAUUAGCUUGUUGGUGGGGUAACGGCCUACCAAGGCGACGAUCAGUAGCCGACCUGAGAGGGUGAUCGGCCACAUUGGAACUGAGACACGGUCCAA